CAAAUCACUAAUCAGGCACCAGGUCU
rnacentral:piRNA from 1 species